rnacentral:rRNA from 1 species
GACGAACGCUGGCGGCGUGCUUAACACAUGCAAGUCGAACGGAAAGGCCCUGCUUUUGUGGGGUGCUCGAGUGGCGAACGGGUGAGUAACACGUGAGUAACCUGCCCUUGACUUUGGGAUAACUUCAGGUAACUGGGGCUAAUACCGGAUAGGAGCUCCCGCUGCAUGGUGGGGGGUGGAAAGUUUCGGCGGUUGGGGAUGGACUCGCGGCUUAUCAGCUUGUUGGUGGGGUAGUGGCUUACCAAGGCUUUGACGGGUAGCCGGCCUGAGAGGGUGACCGGGCACAUUGGGACUGAGAUACGGACCAGACUCCUACGGGAGGCAGCAGUGGGGAAUAUUGCACAAUGGGCGGAAGCCAGAUGCAGCAACGCCGCGUGCGGGAUGACGGCCUUCGGGUUGUAAACCGCUUUGGCCUGUGACGAAGCGUGAGUGACGGUAAUGGGUAAAGAAGCACCGGCUAACUACGUG